rnacentral:misc_RNA from 1 species
UCUAAAUCUGAAGAGGUAGAGAGACUGUANCUGGCUGGAUCUAGUCUUUCUAGUCUGGCAUGUGCACGUCCCCUCACCUUUUCUAUCUACACACACCUGUGCACCUAUUGUAGAUCCCCUCUUGAAAGAGAAGGGAACUAUGUUUUCAUCACAUCACACACAUUGUAUGUCCAGAAUGUAAAUUUGUCAAUCAUUGAUUUGAUUGAUGAUAAAACAUAUAUAAUACAACUUUCAGCAACGGAUCUCUUGGCUCUCGCAUCGAUGAAGAACGCAGCGAAUUGCGAUAAGUAAUGUGAAUUGCAGAUUUCCAGUGAAUCAUCGAAUCUUUGAACGCACCUUGCGCUCCUUGGUAUUCCGAGGAGCAUGCCUGUUUGAGUGUCAUCGAAUUCUCAACCAAUCUCUCUUGAUUAAUCUUUAAUCUUCAAGGGGAGCUAUGGCUUGGAGUUGGGAGUUGCUGGCAUGACUGUCAGCUCUCCUUAAAUGUAUUANCAAUCGAGUUGGCUAGUCUUUGACGUGCACGGCCUCAGACGUGAUAAUGAUCGUCGUAGCUGGAGCGUCUUUUCUAGACUAUGCACAUAGAUCGCUUCUAAUCAGAAUGGGAAGCAAAGAGUAGAGCAAAUAGUCCACAUUGAUCAUGAUCUAUAAUCUAUCAAGCUUAGCUACUAGGCAGUCUCCUGAGGCUGGCGAACACAAGCAAGAAGGAUUAG